CCGAGUUUACAACUCCCAAACCCCUGUGAACAUACCACUUGUUGCCUCGGCGGAUCAGCCCGCUCCCGUAAAACGGGACGGCCCGCCAGAGGACCCCUAAACUCUGUUUCUAUAUGUAACUUCUGAGUAAAACCAUAAAUAAAUC
rnacentral:misc_RNA from 1 species